AUAUCACAGCCAGCGAGAUCAUAGUAUAGAAUUUCUUUUGUGUCAUUGGGUGUAUGCUGUUUAAUCAACUGAAAGAAGAAAAUUUUUAACUCAUAUAUUCCUCUCUAGGGGAUGCUACUAAUGUACCCUGGCAGACAAGAGAUAAAUCUCCUCUUCAGGAAGGAAGAAAAUUCAUUCAGGGAAUCGAACAGUUGGAUCCCACACUACUCAAUACAGCCCCAGUGCUGCUCACUGGAAAUAUACCUGCUUCUCUAAACACAGAAUUGGGGUACUGCUGCAAGCACCCUUGGAACCGCAACUGUGAAUUUCCUUAGUCAGCCUCUUCCAGUAAAGUUCAGGAAAUCAAACC
rnacentral:lncRNA from 1 species